rnacentral:rRNA from 1 species
UGGGGGAUAUUGCACAAUGGGCGAAAGCCUGAUGCAGCGACGCCGCGUGGGGGAUGAAGGCUUUCGGGUUGUAAACCUCUUUCGCUAUCGAACAAGGCCCGCUUAGGGUGGGUUGAGGGUAGGUGGAGAAGAAGCGCCGGCUAACUACGUGCCAGCAGCCGCGGUAAUACGUAGGGCGCGAGUGUUGUCCGGAAUUAUUGGGCGUAAAGGGCUUGUAGGCGGCUUGUUGCGCCUGCUGUGAAAACGCGGGGCUUAACUUCGCGCGUGCAGGGGGUACGGGCAGGCUUGAGUGUGGUAGGGGUGACUGGAAUUCCAGGUGUAGCGGUGGAAUGCGCAGAUAUCUGGAGGAACACCGAUGGCGAAGGCAGGUCACUGGGCCAUUACUGACGCUGAGGAGCGAAAGCAUGGGUAGCGAACAGG